rnacentral:rRNA from 1 species
UGGGGGAUAUUGCACAAUGGGCGAAAGCCUGAUGCAGCGACGCCGCGUGGGGGAUGAAGGCCUUCGGGUUGUAAACUUCUUUUGCUCUGAACAAGGCAUGCUAAUGGGUGUGUUGAGUGUAGGGGUUGAUUAGCGCCGGCUAACUACGUGCCAGCAGCCGCGGUAAUACGUAGGGCGCGAGCGUUGUCCGGAAUUAUUGGGCGUAAAGGGCUUGUAGGUGGCUGGUUGCGUCUGUCGUGAAAGCUCAUGGCUUAACUGGUGGUUUGCGGUGGGUACGGGCUGGCUUGAGUGCAGUAGGGGAGGCUGGAAUUCCUGGUGUAGCGGUGGAAUGCGCAGAUAUCAGGAGGAAUACCGGUGGCGAAGGCGGGUCUCUGGGCUGUUACUGACACUGAGGAGCGAAAGCAUGGGGAGCGAACAGG